AGGGCACCACCAGGGGUGGAGCCUGCGGCUUAAUUUGACUCAACACGGGGAAACUCAUCCGGUCCGGACACCGUGAGGAUUGACAGAUUGAGAGCUCUUUCUUGAUUUGGUGGGCAGUGGUGCAUGGCCGUUCUUAGUUGGUGGAGUGAUUUGUCUGGUUUAUUCCGAUAACGAACGAGACUCUGGCCUACUAACUAGUUGCGCGAUUGAGGAGUCGUGCCAACUUCUUAGAGGGACAAGCGGUGCUCAGCCGCAUGAAAAAGAGCAAUAACAGGUCUGUGAUGCCCUUCGAUGUUCGGAGCUGCACGCGCGCUACACUGUGAGUGGCAGCAUGUUAGCUUGCCUCGCUCGCAAGAGUGGGGUAAUCGGUUGAAAAUCUCACGUGAUUGGGAUAGGGACUUGUAAUUAUUUCCCUUGAACGAGGAAUCCCUAGUAAGUGCAGGUCAUCGGCUUGCGCUGAUUACGGCCCUGCCCUUUGUACACACCACCCGUCGCUGCCCGGAACUGAAGCAUCUCGAG
rnacentral:rRNA from 1 species